AUACGUAGGUGACAAGCGUUAUCCGGAUUUACUGGGCGUAAAGGGCGUGUAGGCGGUCUUGCAAGUCAGAAGUGAAAUUCCCGGGCUUAACUUGGGCGCUGCUUCUGAAACUGCUUAACUUGAGUGCUGGAGAGGAUAGUGGAAUUCCUAGUGUAGCGGUAAAAUGCGCAGAUAUUAGGAGGAACACCGGCGGCGAAGGCGGCUUUCUGGACUGUAACUGACACUGAGGCACGAAAGCGUGGGGAGCAAACAGGAUUAGAUACCCUGGUAGUCCACGCCGUAAACGAUGAGCACUAGCUGUUGGGGCCGAAUGGUCUCAGUGGCGCAGUUAACGCAAUAAGUGCUCCGCCUGGGGAGUACGCGCGCAAGCGUAAAACUCAAAUGAAUUGACGGGG
rnacentral:rRNA from 1 species